CCCAAGAGCUAGCAGCUUGAUAUGCAGACCUCCCAGGAACUGGAUAGGGGGGCUCUGCAGCAGACAUUUAUCCAGUACAGAAACAAGGCAAGACUAGAACAGAUACCAAACAAGACAAGACUAGAAUAACCCAGAACCGGAGCAGGACAGAAAGCAGAACACGUACACAAGAAAGGGCAGGACAGGACUGUACAUGAACUGGGAAAACAAGACAAAAUAAAACAAGACCAGAGAUGCAAGGCAAAACAAG